UGUUAUUCCUUUUUAUUAUUAUCAUGGGAUUCUGAGGUCUAUGACAAUGACAAUCCGUGUUCAUCGGAGAUAUAUUACUUAAUGCAGAUCCGGUUUGUUUGUUUGUUUUUUGUGUGCAAAUUUGAGGUUAUUUGGGUAAUGUAAAUUCAGUUUCAUUGUAAACUGUUUGUUGGUUAACACACAUUGUUGGAACUUUGGGUCUCGACGAAGAUGACUUCUAGCUAAUCUAAGAGUUCUUGCAACACGUGUCUAUAACGAUGAAGGUGGUGCUUGUCAUUUGGCGUGACGUUCUUUCGUGCAGCCAUGUCAAACUUUUGAGCCGCAAUAGCUUUGAUUUGCUUUGUUGGUUGAAUACAUGAAUACAUAUGUUGUAAUUGUGGUUGUUUUGGCCUUUUUUGUGGUACAUUAUGUAAGACCUACCUUGUAAUAUAUAAAGAUUCUGUGUUUUACACUAAUAAUAUUAAUAAAAGAUUUCAAGUAUCAAAACAUGAGCUAAGAUAAAGUAGCAACGGAUUAGUUCAAAAAUGAAAACCCCACAGUUGUCGUUUGAAAACAUGUUAACAAAAAGCGGAAGCAACUAGUUUUGAGGAGUGUUCGGUUGUCAUUGAUUGUCUUCUCCGGCGUCCCUUUUAUCUGCGACAGGUCUCGAUGAAUGUGGCUUCUAGCUAAUCUAAGAGUUCUUGCUACACGUGUCUAUAACGACGAUGGUGGUGCUUGUCAUUUGGCGUGAUGUUCUUUUGUGCAGCCAUGUCGAGCUUUUGAGCCUCAAUAGCUUUGAUUUGCUUAGUUGGUUGAAUAUGUGAAUACAUGUGUUGUAAUUGUGGCUGUUUUGGCCUUUUUGUGGUACAUUAUGUAAGACCCACCAUGUAAUAUAUAAAGAUUCCGUGUGUUACACUAAUAAUAUUAAGGGUAUAUUACA